rnacentral:rRNA from 1 species
UACGUAGGGGGCAAGCGUUAUCCGGAAUCAUUGGGCGUAAAGCGCGUGUAGGCGGUUCUGUAAGUCCGCUCUGAAAGCCCAGGGCUCAACCCUGGGAGGCGGGUGGAUACUACAGAACUGGAGUACGGAAGAGGAGAUUGGAAUUCCUGGUGUAGCGGUGAAAUGCGCAGAUAUCAGGAGGAACACCGGUGGCGAAGGCGGAUCUCUGGGCCUGUCCUGACGCUCAGGCGCGAAAGCUAGGGGAGCAAACAGG